UAACUCAAAAAAAUACAUUUUCUGUCCAGCCAUCAGUUUUAUGUAAAAAAUGUGUUUGAUUUAAAUUAAAAGUAAGUCCUGUUGGUGUAAAGUAAAUACAUUUCUGUAAAUUAAAUUAAAAAUAUUACUUUCCAUUGUCACGUGACUUACGUAACGUCAUGCUGGUUGGUGCGUAAGGACGUUCAGCUGAAGUUCAGCUUUCCGCCAUCUUGAUUUACACUGCACCGAUGGAUGAACUCCGCGUGGUACAAUGGGAUUCAAGAAAAUUGGCCAAUCAUAUCCCAUCCCUGGAUAGACAUCAGCAAACAUUAUGACAAAGACGUUUGCCUUACGCAGACAAGAGAUUGUGGAAAACCAACCUACUGUUCAAGAACUGCAAGAAAGAUUGCCAGAGGAGAUUAAUGCAGAAUUGCGCAUCACGAACUUACCUUGAAAAUCAAGAUUUGUGGCCUCUUUGGACAGACAGAGCUCUCAUGUUAUUAGGAGCAAAGGUGGAGUCCUCCAUGAAAAACUAACGACACUAUUAAAGUUAUGGAUCAGAGUCUGGACAUAGAAAUCAGAAGAGAAAGCCUGCUGAAGUGCCUGAUUCAUGUACUUUGGUGAAGAUGCAAGCUGUCUGAUCAAAGAAUACCAGGCUGACCAGAGGGAAGAAGCGGAGAGGGAAUUCAAAAAGACCACCAUGUAAUUUUUUGUGAUCCGUGAAAGUGAUGCUCUUAAUCCUGCACUGGACAUUUCCAUUUUCAUUGACGGUGUGGAGUAAUAAAUGAGUUGCCCUCUUUUGCAUGUGCAUGUUUGGACUCAUUUGAACUGAACUUAAAACAUCCUGAUGGACUCAAAUAUAACUUUUAAAGCCUUUCAAAAAAAAUGUCAUGGACGUAGACAGUAAGCAGAUGAGCCGAAGGGUGCAGAACCCCUCUUCAAAACUGCAGGAGUACAUUUUUUUCCUUUGACCCAGCUACUGAAGGUAAAUUUUUUGAGCCUUUUAUACAACAUUAACUGUAAUACUGUUUACUAAACCUGAUUUGUUUUAUCUUGAUUAAGUUUUAUGGUUUAUCUAUCAACCAUAACUGAUUCUUAUUUAGAAUUUACAUUUUAUCCAGUGUGUCUACAAAUACUAAAAACUGUUAUACAUUGUGUUUUUAUAACAAUACUAUACACAUUGUUGAAGUGUUUUAUGACAAAUUGUCAUGAUUAUAAUGUGUUUACAUUGUAAGAUAGUGUGUAUUUGUACAAAAAUGUGUAUUAUGACAAAAUAAAUUGUCAAAAGUUUGAUGCUUGAAGUCAUUCAUCUUAGACAGAUGGUAAAAUUACACAUUUUGAAAGUAAAUAAUUUUUUUUAUAUUAAAUUAAUAUUUUAAAUUGUAUUUGGUUGGAUAUUUG